ACGCUCGACACCUACGGGGGCAGCAGUCGGGAAUAUUGCGCAAUGGAGGAAACUCUGACGCAGUGACGCCGCGUAUGGGAAGAAGGUUUUCGGAUUGUAAACCAUUUUAGACAAGGAAGAAACAAGACAGUACUUGUAGAAUAAGCUCCGGCUAACUACGUGCCAGCACGCCGGACGGUAAUCUGAGGCGGGCGUGGACGAAGGC
rnacentral:rRNA from 1 species